GGGGGCGACAGGUUUCGACAGCAGGAUGGAAGGUCUGGGAGAGCGAGCCGAGGAUGGAGGAUCCUCGUUAAUCCGACUCCAAAACAAUAAUUGCCAACGAAGAUUUCGCACUGGCUGCUUAACUAAAGCAGUCACGCCGCCCGGGGGCUCGGUCGUUGGAACCCGGAACGACGUCAAAAAGACGGCUGGAACCGCCGCAGUUUUCUCUGGCGGCAGUUCGAGACUCUAGGGAGAAAUAGACGAAGGGAAUCCUGUCUGUGGGAGUCCCCAGGUCAAAAUUAAAUCACUGACUACACUCGUAGCGUUGCCGGAUGGUCCCCUGUUGGACCGGAGUUCGAUUCUCCGCGCCUCCACCA
rnacentral:tmRNA from 1 species